CUACGGGUGGCUGCAGUAAGGAAUAUUACGCAAUGGAGGCAACUCUGACGCAGCCAUGCCGCGUGCAGGAAGAAGGCCUUAUGGGUCGUAAACUGCUUUUAUUUAGGAAUAAACCCCCGAACGUGUUCGGGGCUGAAGGUACUAAACGAAUAAGCACCGGCUAACUCCGUGCCAGCAGCCGCGGUAAUACGGAGGGUGCAAGCGUUAUCCGGAUUUAUUGGGUUUAAAGGGUGCGCAGGCGGGCUAUUAAGUCAGUGGUGAAAUCCCGGGGCUCAACUCCGGAACUGCCAUUGAUACUGAUAGUCUUGAGUUUGGUUGAAGUGGGCGGAAUGUAGCAUGUAGCGGUGAAAUGCAUAGAUAUGCUACAGAACACCAAUCGCGAAGGCAGCUCACUAAGCCAAAACUGACGCUCAUGCACGAAAGCGUGGGGAUCAAACAGGAUUAGAUACCCGUGUAGUC
rnacentral:rRNA from 1 species